rnacentral:rRNA from 1 species
CUACGGGUCGCUGCAGUGGGGAAUAUUGGACAAUGGGCGCAAGCCUGAUCCAGCAAUGCCGCGUGAGUGAAGACGGCCUUAGGGUUGUAAAACUCUUUCGCUAGGGAAGAUAAUGACUGUACCUAGUAAAGAAGUCCCGGCUAACUCCGUGCCAUCAGCCGCGGUAAUACGGAGGGGACUAGCGUUGUUCGGAAUUACUGGGCGUAAAGAGUUCGUAGGCGGACUGACAAGUUAGAGGUGAAAUCCCAGGGCUCAACCCUGGAACUGCCGUUAAAACUGUCAGUCUAGAGACCGGAGGAGGUUAGGGGAAUACCUAGUGUAGAGGUGAAAUUCGUAGAUAUUAGGUGGAACACCAGUGGCGAAGGCGCCUAACUGGUCCGGUACUGACGCUGAGGAACGAAAGCGUGGGGAGCAAACAGGAUUAGAUACCCUUGUAGUC